rnacentral:rRNA from 1 species
GUGGGGAAUAUUGGACAAUGGGCGAAAGCCUGAUCCAGCCAUGCCGCGUGUGUGAAGAAGGUCUUCGGAUUGUAAAGCACUUUAAGUUGGGAGGAAGGGCAGUAAGUUAAUACCUUGCUGUUUUGACGUUACCGACAGAAUAAGCACCGGCUAACUUCGUGCCAGCAGCCGCGGUAAUACGAAGGGUGCAAGCGUUAAUCGGAAUUACUGGGCGUAAAGCGCGCGUAGGUGGUUUUGUCAGUUGGAGGUGAAAUCCCCGGGCUCAACCUGGGGACUGCCUCCAAAACUGCAAGACUAGAGGACGGUAGAGGGUAGUGGAAUUUCCUGUGUAGCGGUGAAAUGCGUAGAUAUAGGAAGGAACACCAGUGGCGAAGGCGACUACCUGGACUGAUACUGACACUGAGGUGCGAAAGCGUGGGGAGCAAACAGGAUUAGAUACCCGAGUAGUCC